UACAGAGGUCUCAAGCGUUAUUCGGAAUCAUUGGGCGUAAAGGGUGUGUAGGCGGUAUAUCAAGUCUGUUGUUAAAUCUCUCAGCCUAACUGGGAAAAUGCAGCGGAAACUGAUGUGCUAGAGGAUGGAAGAGAGAAGUGGAAUUCUCGGAGUAGCGGUAAAAUGCGUAGAUCUCGAGAGGAACACCGAUGGCGAAGGCAGCUUCUUGGUCCAUUCCUGACGCUGAUACACGAAAGCGUGGGGAGCAAACAGG
rnacentral:rRNA from 1 species